UACGUAGGGUGCAAUCGUUGUCCGGAAUUAUUGGGCGUAAAGAGCUCGUAGGCGGUUUGUUGCGUCGUCUGUGAAAUCCCGAGGCUCAACCUCGGGUCUGCAGUCGAUACGAGCAAACUAGAGUGUUGUAGGGGAGACUGGAAUUCCUGGUGUAGCGGUGAAAUGCGCAGAUAUCAGGAGGAACACCAGUGGCGAAGGCGGCUCACUGGACCGGAACUGACGCUGAGGCGCGAAAGCGUGGGGAGCAAACAGG
rnacentral:rRNA from 1 species